UACGGAGGGUGCGAGCGUUAAUCGGAAUUACUGGGCGUAAAGGGUGCGUAGGUGGUUUGAUAAGUUAUCUGUGAAAUCCCCGGGCUUAACCUGGGAAGGUCAGAUAAGACUGUGAGACUUGAGUAUGGGAGAGGGUAGUGGAAUUUCCGGUGUAGCGGUGAAAUGCGUAGAGAUCGGAAGGAACACCAGUGGCGAAGGCGGCUACCUGGCCUGAUACUGACACUGAAGCACGAAAGCGUGGGGAGCAAACAGGAUUAGAUACCCUGGUAGUCCACGCCGUAAACGAUGUCAACUAGCUGUUGGUCAUAUGAAUGUGAUUAGUGGCGAAGCUAACGCGAUAAGUUGACCGCCUGGGGAGUACGAUCGCAAGAUUA
rnacentral:rRNA from 1 species